CAGUAUCUCAGUACAGGGUUAUAAUUGAGACAUCACUACACCCAGAGAAACUUGAUGCUAGAAUUUGUCAGAAAAAAAUGUAUUCUAAACUAAAGACUUCCAAUUGAACUGUUGGAAUAGGCUCUUUUUAUAAACUAGGGAUCACUAGCAAAAUCUCUUGUUUCCCUAUAUAUAGUCUUCAGUUUCUGAUCAAAUGUUCAGUGGUUUUCCAGUUGUAUCAGUUUUUGCAUGAAGAUCAAUCAACAUUUUAAUGAUACCAGGUAAAGUCAUCUACAUCCAUCUGACUUUAUUUUGACAUGGUUUCAUUUGAUAGGUGACAGGAAAUGAAACCAGGUUUUUCCUUCUUUGUACUGCCCUGGUGCCUGGAGCACAUGCACUCCGCUGCACACACCCCACUAUAGUCGUGUAUUCACUCACCUGUCUCACAUCAGACUGUGAACUCCUCUGUUGCAUGGACCAUGUUUUAACUCAUCUUGAGUCUUAGCACAAUAUCCUUCCACUCUUUCCUUGUCCAAUCCAUUUUCCACAGAGCAGCCAAAGAGAGCUUUUGAAACCAUAAAUCAGAUUUUGUCAUUUUCUUGCUUAAAAUCCUUCAAAGUCUUCCCAUUGCCUUAAAAUAAACUGUGCAUGCCUGACCAGGGCUCACUACCCCCUGUAGGCUCUGGCUCCUGUCUGCUCUCAGCCUUGCUCCAGGACUGCUGGCCUCUGCUCAGUGCUCAGUGCUGUGCUGCCCCAGGGCCUUGAGCUUGCUCUUUCCUCUGUCUGGAAUGCUCCUCUCUUGGCUUUUGCAUGGUUGGCUUCUUCUCAUGCUUCAAGUCUUAGAUGCUUAAAUGUCACCUUUAAUGUCAGAGAGAUCUUUCCCUGAACACUCCAUAUGAACUAUGUCUACCCUGUUGCUUUGUAUCUCUGCACCCCGCUUAAUUCCUUUAAAGAAAGUCUUCACUUAACAUUGUCAUGAAAACUACAUCUUUAAGCAAAAUGAUGUAUAAUGAAACCAAUUUUACUAUAGCCUAAUUGAUGGAAACAAGAGUUAAGUUCCCACGACGUAUUUCUGGUUACAAAAACAUCACCAAACUCCUAAAUAAAGACCAAAACACUUCUAAUAUUAAACAUUGAAAUAAAUGUGAGCUAUACAUACAUUUAAGAAAAAUUAAUCAAAACAAAUAAUUACAGAUUUGGAGGGAGAUAUUUUUAUAGUUUCAAAAAACAUUUUCAUACUGUACUGAAACUUCAUUUAGAAGAUUCUCAAAACAGGUAACAAAAGUUAAGUAAUGUGGUUUUAAGACAGUAAAAUAGCUUUAUGGCCAGUUAAGACAUAGGCUGGAGGGCCAGACACUGGUGCAAAUUUGGACUCUGAUGAUGUGUAGCUGUGUGACCUGGGACAAAUUAUUUAACGCUAGGUGCUUCAGUCUCCUCUGUAAAAUGAGGAUAAUAAUAGUGGCUACUUCACAGGGUGAUUAGGAGAAUUAAAUGAGUUAAUAUUUGUAAGUAACUCAGAAUAGUGCCAUGAAUGCCUAUCAUGGAAUCCAUUAUAUGGAGAUCUUAGGUGAUGAGUGGCUUAAAACCAAAGAUCUUCAGCUUUAGUGUAGUGAUGGCUUCCUGGGGCAGAAGUUAUUCAUGUAAACUCACAAAGCUGCUUCUCUCUGCCCUUCUGGGCAUGGGAGUAGGGCAGGAUGCUGGUGCUGCUGAACAGGAGAACUCGGAGCAUGUUGCAUUCUCACUCGUCAGAAAAUGGACAGAAACUUGAAAAAGAGAAAGAAAAAUAGCAACCAAUGCACAUCACUCUGAAGAAAAGCUGGGCCUGCAGUUUUCUGAAUAAGCAGGAUGAUUGGUGCCUCUAAUUUUCUGUCUCUAAUAGCAAUUGACUAAAGGACAUUCCUUCUCUUCUCUUUGUAGCCAGGACGGGGUUGCUAAGUGAGUCCCCCUAUGUGAGAAAUGAGUGUUUCUUGACAGGAGUUAGCAUUAUUCUCACACUCUCUUGUUAAACCACUAGUCUUUAAACUUUCACAAUUGUCUUCCCCUACCAAUACUAGAAACCUCAGUAAAGACUCUUAAUAAAUGUAUGUAUUCUUAAAUUAUGUGUGUGCACAUGUGUGUAUUACUCUACUUAUAACAUGAACAUUAAAAAAUUCUAUCCCUUGCCAUGCAAUUUAAGCAUACUGGAAUGCACUUGCUUGAAAAUAGCAUUAUUUCAGUUAUUGGUUAUUAGUAAUUAUUGGUAAAAAGAAAAAUUCCUUAUACUACAAUAGGCCCACAUGUGUCUCAAUACCAAGCCGAAGAAAGUCUGGAUUGGAAAGAGAAAAAGACUGAAGAGACUUCUGCUAGAACCUAGCAGGGAAGGGAUCAUAAAAGGAUGUUUGUUCAGCAAAUAUCCACUGAACACCUAUUUUGUGCCUUUGAACAAGACAGGCCCCUGCCCUAACAAGCCUGUGUUCUUCUGAGAGAAUCCAGCUGCCCCAUUACAUGACUCAAGAGGGUGCAUUUACGUAGGCUUCAUGGCUGCCCUGUGAGGGGAGGUGUUGAUGAGGGAAACCAGCGAACAUAUACUGUGUCAGAUAGAAGUAAAUGCUAUGAGGAAGAAUAUGCAGGGUGAAGGGGUAGAGUAUGAGAGAGGCUGAUCUUUCCCAUGGGGGAAAUCUUCUGAGAAUGGGGAUUUGAGCCUUGACCUGAAUGCUGGGAGGCAGCUAGUCCUGUGAAUAUUGGAGGAAGAGCAUUCUGGGUAUUUAUUUGGGGUCUCAUCCUUACAUCCUUGGUUAUAGGUGACUCAAGCUCAGCAGGCCCGAGAAUGACCUCCUGAAGGGCUGGCUGGCUCCUGGGGAACAGGAGGGCCCAUCCUCAGCAGCUGUGAGCUGCCACAUAAAUAAGGCCCAGGGCUUUGUUACAGCCAGUCUGCUCCCUGUCAGGCCUGACAAGGCAGCACACUUUGUGUUUGCUAAUAAUGGAUUUCCUUUCUGAGGCGCCAUCAGGCUCUGAAAGCACUAACCGAGUUGGUAAGCUGGGCUCCUCUUUUCCUACUUCUCCCGGUAGAAGGCUGCAUCCUCAGAAGCUCUUUCAGCCAUUUAUGAACAUAGAUUGCCAUUGUCUUGUAAAAAAUGAGUUUCUAAACCAUGUAAGCAGUUAAAUCACCAGCUGGCUAGACCCUAGACUUUAGCUACCAAGUAUUUUAGAAAAAUGGUCUUUUAUGACACUGCUUGUAGGGAAGUAGGAAGUUUCGUUGUAAGGGCGAUGGGGAGUUUUGGGAGUCUCUUUCCCCACAUAUUUCUACUGAACUGUUAAAACAAGUCCAACAAGGCAAUGAUUUAAAAAAAUUUAACAAUCUCCAACCCUGCUCUUCUCUAGUAACAUAUAUGGCAGAGGCCAAGAGUGUAAGCUCUAUGCCAGACUGCUGGGUAUAAAUCCUGCUUGCCACUUGCUAGCUGUGUGAUCUUGCACAAGUUAUUUCACCAAUUUUGUUCUCAAUUUCCUUAUCUGUAAAAUGAGACUGUAAAAUGGAACAUUCUUUUACUCACCUUAUGCAGUUGUUAUAGUGAAUGGGUGGUGCAUAAUGCUCUUAAAAUAAUACCUGCUACAAAGUAAGCACUAUUCUCAUAUUAGCUCUUACUAACAUAGCUAUCAUGAGAUGCUAUUUUUUUUGUUUGUUUUCUCUUAUGUCAUUAUAUAGAACUUGGCAACUCAUUUUUUUUUUCACUGAAUCCAUCAACAGGCAUCCUUCUAGAUUCAAAUCCAAGCAUAUGUAGAUAUUAUUAAUUUUUAACAACUGCCUAAUGCUACUUAAUAGGGAUCACCAGUUGUUUGAACACUACAUUUUUAGUAGGCAUUCAAUUGUUUCUAAGCUUUUACUCUUACAAAUAAUAUAGCAAUAGACUAUUGUACAUAUAUCCUUUUUUAUGUUGCUCUGUUUCUAAGUGAUAAAUUCUUUAAAGUGGGAUUGCUGGAUCAAAAGUCAUGAGCUUUUAAAAUGGUAAUAGAUAUCCCAAAAUAUCAUAGCAAUUUGCACUCAUACCAGAAAUAUAUGAGUGCUCAUUUCCCCAUGUGCUUACCAGCAGUGGAUAUUUUUAAUCUUUAAUUUUUUUCCAGUCCAGCAGGCAAAAAAUAGAAUCUCAUUGUCCUUUCAAUUGACAUAUCUCUGACUGCCAGCGAGGUUGGGUACAUCAAAAGGUUCUAAGUGGGGGCAUUAAAUAGUAAAAUUUCCAGUUUGAAAGAUCAGUAGGGCUACAACAUGGAAAGCUGAGAAG
rnacentral:lncRNA from 1 species